rnacentral:rRNA from 1 species
UACGAAGGGGGCUCGCGUUGCUCGGAUUUACUGGGCGUAAAGCGCGCGCAGGCGGCUUUGCAAGUCAGGGGUGAAAUCCCAGAGCUCAACUCUGGAAUUGCCUUUGAGACUGUGAGGCUUCGAGUACGGGAGAGGUGAGUGGAAUUCCCAGUGUAGAGGUGAAAUUCGUAGAUAUUGGGAAGAACCCCAGUGGCGAAGGCGGCUCACUGGCCCGUUACCGACGCUCAGGCGCGACAGCGUGGGGAGCAAACAGG